rnacentral:lncRNA from 1 species
AUAUAAAAUUCUCUGAUCAACUCCAAACAAAAACCAGUUUGCUCCGGGAAAUCACAAAUCUGAUAAAGAUUUUCCUGUUCAAAUAAAUCCUGAAAUCCCGGCACACAGCUAAUGAUACUGGCAACCCCAACAUCUCGCUCACCAAUGCAGUGUUUCAACGAGUACAUGGACCGUCGAGCAGAAGGAAUAUCCUGCAGACUGUGACG